UUAAAGGCAAGCAGGUACAGCCGAGGUAGCAAAUGGACGAAGUGGAGAACCGCACCCACGGAGAACUAGCCGGGAAUUUCCAACGGUUGGUAACACUGCCUGCUCUUUCCAGGAGACUGACGCCGCCGUUCAAUACACCACUACGUCACUGGACAUACUUUGCGAUGCUACGACUUUGUCCUAUUUUAUCCAGUUGUUUUAUAACUAUUUUUUUCUCCACAAAAUAUCACGGAUAGUUCUCAAAUUCCGUGCGGUAUGGAAUGACACAGAUUCUGAUAAGAAGUCACGUUCCUGUUACGCAAUGCGAAUCAUCGAUUCCUCGUGCGAGAAAAAUGUCUUUCAGCAUAUCAUUUUCUUUAACUUCACUGCGAACACUUUGAUGCCCGUCAAGAGGGAUGCUGGGUCUGACUCGGCAGGGGGUUCUUGUCUCUUGCGAGGCGUUGAAAUGCGUGGGUUUGUUAGGGUGGUUUUGGACGGAGAUACUUUUUGUUUAUCAUUUGUCACGCUGUUGUUUACGUCAACGAGGAGUCAGGUUAGUCUCUUCUUUCCUUUUCACUAUCAGAUACUUCUUCUCUACUCUGAAGUUUCCAGCUGAUUUGUUGCUCUUGAAGAACAAAAUUGCAUGGAAUCUCGAAGGGUUGUCAGACGGAUUUAAAUCACCCUUGUCACUUGGAAAUUUGCAAACAGUACACAAAGCCACCAGUAUUUCGUGUUUCGGUGUUCAUCCGUCAGAGGCGGUAAAUUUAAAUAGCAAGUCCCGAUACCACGAAAAAUUCUUAAUAAACGCAUGAUGAAUCAUCUGCGAUUCGUAAAAACUAAGAGACAAUAACGUCGUGAAAUGCGCGACGUGGGAUAAAAAGAUAGAAAAAGAGAAUCUGAGGACAGAUGCGAAGAAGAGGGACAAGAAAAUAAAAAAAAUAAGUCACGUUAUGAAUGAUCCUACCAUCUAGAGAGUCUGAAGGAUGCUUGAAAAGUAAAGUAAAUCCAAGAAGGAUGAGCGAUGCUCUUUAUUAUCUAAGGGCGCUGAUACUGGACUCAAGUCAAUGCACUUAUGACUAAGUUAUUAUUAAAUAUUUAAAAUGAUCAAUGAUCAACGACGCAAUGAUUUCUAGCAUUGAAAUCAGACACGAGCCGCCUGUCAAAGGGACAAAAAGCCAGUGAAGGGGUUGGCGGGGGGUACGAAAUGAAUGAUGUCGAGAUUCUCUCUGUAUUGGAGCAGGCUUGCUGGCGCCUGUAAGGCAGGCAGCCAGGCGGGCGCCGUUUUCCUGAGAGGAUCUAACGUUAGUCAGAGAGAGCAAGGCUAUCUGGUUUCGUCCUGCGCAAAAGGACAGAGAUGUAAAAGCGAUGAAGAGGAAGGUGGUGGUAAAGUCGUAGUACGAGUAAGAAAGAGAGGUCGAGCUGGUUUAUCCCAAGCCAUAAACGGGAGGAAGCGAGAGACAGAGAUAAAUAGAGUGCUACUACGUGGACAGAAGAGAGAUGGAAAGAAAGGAAAAUAUACCUCAUUGGCUCGCAGCCUCUGAAAAUCCUCUGAGGUAACAGAUUGGAAGACGAGAGAAUGUCCUGUGCCAAGGAAAAGCCUCCCAGCGACCUCCUGAUGAAGACGUUAAUUUUUUUUAAGUAUUUUUUUUUAUCUAUUCUCGACACAACUGUUAUGUCCUUUAGUUGAACUUUCAUUACGGUACACUUUCAGUCUCGAGAAACAGACGAAAGAAUCGGAAGGAUAUCGAUCAGUGGAGGAUGACGAAAGUGCAGACGUCUUGGGGAGAGUGGCCAUACUUGUUUGGUCUACCGCGAAGUAUGGUGUUAUUUUUCUAGGGGGUUACUGAAAAACAUCGGAGAGCAGACAGAACUCGUUUCUUUUUUAUCCGUAAAAGAAGGCAUUGUCGUCAGUGUGUUUAUGUCGGACACACAUAGCCAUACGUAAGACACACGCAAACACUGGUACGACGGAAGCCGGAAGUUUGACUCGCAACGCAUGCGACAGACUACAGUAUCGCCAUGCUUGAUAUCCUGCUGUCAGAUCGAUCGGGUCUGCUAAUUCAUGGCUAAUAACUGCCAGUGGCGUCCUAUUGGAAAAUUUGAAAAAAUUCACAAUAUCCCCUUUUCACGCUGUCAGCCUCGACCCUGCACCUUUAUACCCACAUGAGACAUAUGCACCACGGCAAAGCACACUUGGACAGAUGCAAUCCGCGUGCAGCGUUAUACAUUUGCAACAGGAUUGCUGCUAGCGAAGAACAGAGUGUGGUGUAUUGUAGUAGCCUAAUCCGAUUACAUGGACCAUUGAAGUCGCAAGUGUGAUCUUCUAAAAGGGGCUAACGUAAUGCGCUUGUUAAACGUUGAAGAGAGAUCAAUAUUUUCUAUGGUGAAGGGAAAGGAAAGAGAGAGAGAGAGAGAGAGAGACUGAGAGAAAGUGCAACACAAUACAAUGCAACCCUACAGCCAGAGGAUUUUUUUCCAUUAAUCCCCAAUGAGUACUCAUGGUCGGUAAGGAUCUACAAAAAUCAGUAAUACGGAUGAUAUUCAUUCAAGAGCAUCCAUUGAGUGGUUAAGUAAUCGAAGGUAGUUGGACAGUUGUUCAAAUUCUAUAAAAUAUUUUUCCUCCUCGUACGCACGUGCGUGCGGCCGCUGUUAGGCAGUCGGACUGGUGUCUGAAAAGUAACGAUAUACGAAGGAGAGAAAAAAAACGAAGGGCUGGUUGGUGCAGAAACGUUUAAAUAAAGGGGCCCUCUGUGCAUACAGACGUCUAAUAAAUGGGCAACGGGAUCUUGAAUUAUGGGCAAACAUCCCGGCCUAGUGCCUAAUGCAAUUAUUGCUUUUAGAAUAUUGCCUCCAUUUACGUAUUGAAUUUUAAUUAAGUUUCUCAGGGACUACCCGCGGCGCGAUUAAGCGUACAUCUAUUUAUAGAUAAGUAGGACAGGGACAGGGUGACUGUGAGAGAUUUUCUUUUUUCACCCUAUACAGUCAACCUCACCGAUAUCGGAAAUUUACAUGGACAGGUUAUAAGUUCUGGAAACCUCAACCUCAUCUUGUCAAACUUACUGCAAGCGCAAACGAACACACGAUGUGGAAGAAAAAAGUUAUCCUGAUGUCAUGUCCAUGGCGAUUCUUUCUGAAGGAAACUCCCGGAAUUCUGGCGUCCGCCUCUGGAGAUCUGGACACCCUCCAACGGCUAUCUGGGGAAUCAAUGCCGGAUUUUGGGAAUGCCUGGAGAUAUCGAAGGAAGUCAAAUACGAUAUAAGGAUUACACAAGGAAACUAUACGAGAUAUUAUCAAUAUUAUCAACGAUGCUACAGCUGAAAGGGAAUUUUAUAAAUAUAUCAAAGUGAGCAACAGUCUACGGAAGCCUCACUCGAGCAAAGACAUACACGGACCCUUCGUAAUUGUACUAAAUAAAUGGUGACUGUCUCGACGUCUCAAGAGUUUCGCACACUAAAGUCAAUCGCUCGUUCUACCAGUGACGUAUAGUUGUGAUAAGCUGAGCAAAUGUAGCGAAUACAUGAAAAACACUGCCAUAAGGUGCAUCCACGAGGCGGAUCGUGCACUUAUGUCCAAAGUGCAGUAUUACGGCUCAAUAUAUUUAUUAUAUUUGCGCACAACUGUGAUACGUAUAAUUUGACGUAGCGUAAUAAUUUGGUACGCGUUGCGCAAUAUGCUUCGUAUUCUGUGCGCACUAUACCAUGGUAUAGUAUAUACAUAUAGUAGCAUUAUAGUAGCCCUCGUAACUCCAGGCUUCUGUUAGGGAUGAAGUUAGUCGAGCGAGCUGGGAGAAUUAUUAGCCUGCGGAACCUGCGGAAGGGUAAAUUUGACAGAUGCACCAGGGAUAGGCAGUGCAUAUAUGCACACGUGUGUAUCGAUCGCGAUGCAUUUCCCCUCGAUGAUAACAGUCAUUAGCAGUCAUGUAGGACAGAGUAUAUUGCUGGGUAAAUUACAAUCCGUGAAAAUUCUUUGAUCCUACUGUAUAUCGUACGGCUAUUGCAGUUGACUGUGAGAAAAUAUUAAAACGCUUGGCUUUAACUUUUUUUUUUAAUCACUCUUUCUGUAUUUUGUUGCUUUAAUCAGUUUUCUCUGUUUCGCACCAUUCACGCGGCGAUAUUUCAGUCGGCCUAUAAAAUGCGAAUAGGAUAUUCGUAUAUUUCGUCACGCAUACCCUCGAAACCGAUAAGCAAUAUUUCACGCUUUACGUUUAUUGGCUGCAAUAUACUGUGGUCGUCCAUGGGCAUCCGUAUUCCCAAUAGGUUUUUGCCUUUCUAGUUAUUAAACUGGAAUACACCAUUUUUUUUUACAAACAGCCACUACUAUUAAUCUAGUUACAGACUGGUUGUAUAUAUAU